AUUGAACGCUGGCGGCAUGCCUUACACAUGCAAGUCGAACGGCAGCACGGGAGCAAUCCUGGUGGCGAGUGGCGAACGGGUGAGUAAUAUAUCGGAACGUGCCCAGUCGUGGGGAUAACGUAGCGAAAGCUACGCUAAUACCGCAUACGAUCUAUGGAUGAAAGCGGGGGAUCGCAAGACCUCGCGCGAUUGGAGCGGCCGAUAUCAGAUUAGGUAGUUGGUGAGGUAAAGGCUCACCAAGCCGACGAUCUGUAGCUGGUCUGAGAGGGCGACCAGCCACACUGGGACUGAGACACGGCCCAGACUCCUACGGGAGGCAGCAGUGGGGAAUUUUGGACAAUGGGCGCAAGCCUGAUCCAGCAAUGCCGCGUGCAGGAUGAAGGCCUCGGUGUAAC
rnacentral:rRNA from 1 species